rnacentral:rRNA from 1 species
UACGUAGGGGGCAAGCGUUGUCCGGAAUCAUUGGGCGUAAAGAGCGCGUAGGCGGCCCUGUAAGUCCGCUGUGAAAGUCAAGGGCUCAACCCUUGAAUGCCGGUGGAUACUGCAGGGCUAGAGUCCGGAAGAGGCGAGUGGAAUUCCUGGUGUAGCGGUGAAAUGCGCAGAUAUCAGGAGGAACACCGGUGGCGAAGGCGGCAUCCUGGACCAACACUGACACUGAGGAGCGAAAGCCAGGGGAGCAAACGGG